UUGUUCGUGAGCAGGGAAGGUUUACAGUGGCUUGGUGGAGUCAGAUUGUUGCCAGUUUUAUAUGACCUCCAAAUAACAAGGGUCAAGGUCGCCUGUGAGAUGAUGGGGGAUAAGCUUCAUCGUCGAGAGGGAAACAGCCUAGAUUACCACCUAAGGCCCCUAAAUGACCACUCAAUGAUAAAGGAGGUAGGGGUGCAUAGACACCCAAGAGGCUUGCCUUGAAGCAGCGACCCUUGAAAGAGUGUGUAAUAGCUCACUGAUCGAGCGCCGAAGAUGAACUGGUCUAAGCGGUUUGGCGAAGCUCUGGGAUGUAAAAAAGCAUCGGUAGGAGAAUGUUCCGUGUUAGGGGGAAGCAUAGGCGCAAGACGUGCCGGAAGAAGUGGAAACG
rnacentral:ncRNA from 1 species